rnacentral:rRNA from 1 species
ACGCACGCUGGCGGCGUGCUUAACACAUGCCAGUCGAACGGAAAGGCCCCUUUGGGGGUACUCGAGUGGCGAACGGGUGAGUAACACGUGAGUAACCUGCCCUUGACUUCGGGAUAACUUCAGGAAACUGGGGCUAAUACCGGAUAGGAAUCCUUGCUGCAUGGUGGGGGUUGGAAAGCUUCGGCGGUUUUGGAUGGACUCGCGGCUUAUCAGCUUGUUGGUGGGGUAGUGGCUUACCAAGGCUUUGACGGGUAGCCGGCCUGAGAGGGCGACCGGCCACAUUGGGACUGGGAUCCGGCCCAGACUCCUACGGGAGGCAGCAGUGGGGAAUAUUGCACAAUGGGCGGAAGCCUGAUGCAGCAACGCCGCGUGCGGGAUGACGGCCUUCGGGUUGUAAACCGCUUUCAGCAGGGGCGAAGCUUGUGGUGACGGUACCUGCAGAAGAAGCACCGGCUAACUACGUG